rnacentral:tRNA from 1 species
CGGUGGGUAGCUCAGUAGGUAGAGCACCAAGGCGAACCGCCUCAUGUGGUCGCUGGUUCGAAUCCAGCCUCACCGGCCA